AUUGAACGCUGGCGGCAUGCUUUACACAUGCAAGUCGAGCGGCAGCGCGGGGGCAACCCUGGCGGCGAGCGGCGAACGGGUGAGUAAUACAUCGGAACGUACCCAGGAGUGGGGAUAGCCCGGCGAAAGCCGGAUUAAUACCGCAUACGAUCUUAGGAUGAAAGUGGGGGACCGCAAGGCCUCACGCUUUUGGAGCGGCCGAUGUCCGAUUAGCUAGUUGGUGGGGUAAAGGCCUACCAAGGCGACGAUCGGUAGCUGGUCUGAGAGGAUGAUCAGCCACACUGGGACUGAGACACGGGCCCAGACUCCUACGGGAGGCAGCAGUGGGGAAUUUUGGACAAUGGGGGAACCCUGAUCCAGCCAUGCCGCGUGCGGGAAGAAGGCCU
rnacentral:rRNA from 1 species